AACGAACGCUGGCGGCAUGCCUAACACAUGCAAGUCGAACGAGACCUUCGGGUCUAGUGGCGCACGGGUGCGUAACGCGUGGGAACCUGCCCUUAGGUUCGGAAUAACUCCCCGAAAGGGGUGCUAAUACCGGAUAAUGUCUUCGGACCAAAGAUUUAUCGCCUUUGGAUGGGCCCGCGUUGGAUUAGCUAGUUGGUAGGGUAAAAGCCUACCAAGGCGACGAUCCAUAGCUGGUCUGAGAGGAUGAUCAGCCACACUGGGAAUGAGACACGGCCCAGACUCCUACGGGAAGCAGCAGUGGGGAAUAUUGGACGAUGGGCGAAAGCCUGAUCCAGCAAUGCCGCGUGAGUGAUGAAGGCCUUAGGGUUGUAAAGCUCUUUUACCCGGGAUGAGAAUGACAGUACCGGGAGAAUAAGCGCCGGCUAACUCCGUG
rnacentral:rRNA from 1 species